rnacentral:lncRNA from 1 species
AAAAUAUCUUCUCUUGUGUUCCACAGAAGAAGGAAAGCCCUGCAGGUUUGGAACAAAACAACAUGAGGGUAAGUAAAUAACAUUUAUUUUUAGGUGCCACUGUUGAAUACCUCAGAAGUUCUUGCAAAUGUAUUCAUUUUCAGUAUGAGACGAAACUGAGAAACAUGGAGCACAACCAAGCCAGAGUCUGUCAAAAGAUCAAGGAUCAAAGAUCGUAGGCCUGUAUUACUCAAGAUCGCAAGCACACAGCUGUGUCAAGGUGAUCUUUAUGCUCUCUAUGAAUGUACAGUGAUUUUCAUCAUUCACACAGCUUGUUUUCCGAUAUAUUUUCUCUUUUUCUCCAAGCUUCCCUUCAGAAUUCUGCUUGUCCCCUUUUUCCUUAUCAUCUUGCAUAGAAAUUAUUGACGUAAGGCCCCUGAUUACAAAGGAUUUUUAAUGCAUGUUUGUUGUUUGCACUUUUAAAUUAAAUGCUUGAUAUUUACACUUUAAUACAUCCAGUAUACUAUUUCGCCAAACUGUAUCAUAAGAUGCCUUAAAUUUACAGUCCACUCCCCUGAGCAGUGAAUCGGUAGAUAAUGAUUAGACUCAAUAAAGCUGAGUUAAACUUUGACUUAAGCAGGAAGCACUUCAAGACUGAAACGCUCAGUCUUUUGAGGAGAGGAGCUCUGCUGACAGGUUUUGUUGCCCGGGACCAUGAGAGGUGUACAUUUGCUACCCUUGACCCUUCUCGUCAGCAUUGUAAGUGUGUGUGAGAGUAGGAUUUUAACUCUGUGACCUUGUAGUGUCCUUAGGAUCUUUUAUUGCGUCCAUAAAUGAGUAACAGUGCUGAAGUCCAUUUCUCUGCCCAUUUAGAUUUUUGUUUCUGGACCCCCUUGAAAAUGAGAUGUGACAUAUCAAGGGGCUAUCCUUUCAAUAAAUUCAAAUUCAAUCAGUCAAAACCUGACACACAGACAUAGUCUGGAUUCAUUUGGAAAGUUAAAUGAUUUUUUCUACAUAAAUAAUCCACAGAAAUGGUCAAAUAUUCAGCCACCUUCAAAGCACAGAUAGGUUUAAUGGAUUAUUAAUGAUUAUUAAUGAUUAAAUGAUUAUUUGUUUAUAUUGCAGUAAGACAAUAAUUUAGUCAUUUAACAUCUUUAUUUAGUUAUUUAUUAAGAAGUGUGGACGUGUAUUAAUUAGGGCUGUCAAAUGAUUAAUCACGAUUAAUCACAUCCAAAAUAAAAGUUUUGUUUACAUAAUAUAUGUAUGUGUACAGGGUAUAUUUAUUAUGUAUAUAUAAAUACACACACAUAAAUUAUAUAUUUAGAAAAU